AUACGAAUGGAGCGAGCGUUGUUCGGAAUCACUGGGCUUAAAGCGUGCGUAGGCGGAUUUGCAAGUCAGGAGUGAAAUCCCAGGGCUCAACCCUGGAACUGCUCUUGAAACUGCAAGUCUAGAAUCCGAUAGAGGUCAGGAGAAUUCCUAGUGUAGAGGUGAAAUUCGCAGAUAUUAGGAGGAAUACCAGUGGCGUAGGCGCCUGACUGGGUCGGUAUUGACGCUGAGGUACGAAAGCGUGGGGAGCAAACAGGAUUAGAUACCCUGGUAGUCCACGCCGUAAACGAUGUCUGCUAGUUGUCAGCAUUUAGGUGUUGGUGACGGAGCGAAAGUAUUAAGCAGACCGCCUGGGGAGUACGGCCGCAAGGUUAAA
rnacentral:rRNA from 1 species